AUGGAGAUAGUUGAGGCAGAAGGUAUUAAGGUCCCAAACUCUGUGAUUGUUAGUGGCUUGACUAAAACCGAGAGUGAUGAUGAGUUAAUUGACAUCCUGAAAGAGUAUGGUUCUUUUGCCAGAACCAUUUUCAUUAGUGACAAACAAUCAGAAUUUUACCAGAGCACAAUAAUUGAAUAUAACAGUGGUCAAGCCUUGGAAAUGCUAGAACCUCAGCUACCUUAUACUCACCAGCUAUCCAGUGAUCCAGGUAUCACUUACAACGUGAGGGCAUUAUCUAGUGUCUUUACACAGCAAUUGGGCAGUAGUGUUACUCAAUCUUACCUUGAAGGACUGAAAGAAAUAGCAAAACUGAGUGGAACCAAUUUUGAAGCAGUAUUGAGCCAAAUGCUAUCUCAAAUGAGCGCAGAACUCACACCAGCAUCCACUGAUCUUGAGGCUGGAGAUGAAAAUCCUAAUGGGCAACCACCCCAAAAACUCCCUGGCGAGUGUGUUGGAGCAACACCUGUUAAGCCGAGUCAGGUAGAUGAACCACAGUCACAGCCCAAGCCUAUUAAAUCGAACGCCCCACCUCUCUUUCCCUCUAAAAAAAUACUAAACCCACCUGAAGUUCAGAAAUUCAUUGUUGAACACGUUGUGAGGAGUGGUGAAGUGGCUGCCCAAGGGCCUGUACAAUCAAGGCUCAGGGUGUUCUCUGGUAAAUGUCCUAGACCUGGAAAUGAGGUUGAUUAUGAAACUUGGCGCUCCAGUGUUGAGCUUGUUCUGAAAGACCCUGGCUUAUCUGAUCUGCAUGUGUCCAGGAAGAUAUUGGACAGUCUUUUGCCACCUGCAGCCGAUGUCAUAAAACAUCUAAGCCCUGAAGCUCCAUCCUCAGCUUAUCUUCAGUUGCUAGAUUCUGCUUUUGGCAUUGUUGAGGAUGGGGAUGAGCUCCUUGCAAGAUUUAUGAAAACCUACAGGAUGCCGGUGAGAAACCAUCCACUUACCUGUAUAGAUUGCAGACCGCCUUGA
ensembl:lncRNA